CAGCCGCCACGGUAAUACGGAGGAUCCGAGCGUUAUCCGGAAUUAUUGGGUUUAAAGGGUGCGUAGGCGGAUAGAUAAGUCAGUGGUGAAAGACGGUGGCUCAACCAUCGCAGUGCCGUUGAUACUGUUUAUCUUGAAUAUGGAUGAGGUAGGCGGAAUGUGGCAAGUAGCGGUGAAAUGCAUAGAUAUGCCACAGAACACCGAUUGCGAAGGCAGCUUACCAAGGCAAAAUUGACGCUGAGGCACGAAAGCGUGGGGAUCGAACAGGAUUAGAUACCCCGGUAGUCCCUGUCUCUUAUAC
rnacentral:rRNA from 1 species